UACGAAGGGGGCUAGCGUUGUUCGGAAUUACUGGGCGUAAAGCGCGCGCAGGCGGGUCAUCAAGUCAGAGGUGAAAUCCCAGAGCUCAACUCUGGAACUGCCUUUGAUACUGGCUAUCUUGAGUACGGGAGAGGUGUGUGGAACUCCGAGUGUAGAGGUGAAAUUCGUAGAUAUUCGGAAGAACACCAGUGGCGAAGGCGACACACUGGCCCGUUACUGACGCUGAGGCGCGAAAGCGUGGGGAGCAAACAGG
rnacentral:rRNA from 1 species